AACGAACGCUGGCGGCAGGCCUAACACAUGCAAGUCGAGCGGCAGCGCGAUAUGUAGCAAUACAUAUUGGCGGCGAGCGGCGGACGGGUGAGGGACACGUAGGAACCUACCCUCGAGUGGGGGAUAACCAAGGGAAACUUUGGCUAAUACCGCAUGAACUCGAGAGAGCAAAGCUGCCGCAAGGUGGCGCUCGAGGAGGGGCCGGCGUCCGAUUAGCUAGUUGGUGAGGUAAGAGCUCACCAAGGCGAUGAUCGGUAACUGGCCUGAGAGGACGACCAGUCACACUGGGACUGAGACACGGCCCAGACUCCUACGGGAGGCAGCAGUGGGGAAUAUUGGACAAUGGGGGCAACCCUGAUCCAGCGAUGCCGCGUGAGUGAAGAAGGCCUUCGGGUCGUAAAGCUCUUUAGGUUGGGAAGAAGGGUGAUGGAGGAAAUGCUAUCACUUUGACGGUACCGACAGAAUAAGCACCGGCAAACUCUGUGCCAGCAGCCGCGGUAAAAC
rnacentral:rRNA from 1 species